AGCGCAGGCGGGAAGACAAGUUGGAAGUGAGAUCUAUGGGCUCAACCCAUAAACUGCUUUCAAAACUGUUUUUCUUGAGUAGUGCAGAGGUAGGCGGAAUUCCCGGUGUAGCGGUGGAAUGCGUAGAUAUCGGGAGGAACACCAGUGGCGAAGGCGGCCUACUGGGCACCAACUGACGCUGAGGCUCGAAAGUGUGGGUAGCAAACA
rnacentral:rRNA from 1 species